ACAUGAACUAGUUUGAGAUGCUUAAGACCGACAUCAGUCAUCGAAAUCAGCAGGUUUGAAACAUAAACCAUGUUUUGUGAAAAUUGAACCUAACCACAUUGCCCCGUAAUGUCCAUGGAUGUGCAGGCCAGAUGAAUUAAGCAUUGUAAAUGGUGUUCUGCAAGUGUUUGGAGGCUUUGAGAAGAGAUGAUUGUCUGCCAGCUUGAGAAUCUCCUUUGUGUAAAUGAAGCAAUGAAUUCGGAC